rnacentral:snoRNA from 1 species
CCUCCCGUUCUUGGCAGGCCCUGGCCACCCCGUGCCCGGGUCUGUGAUGUCUGGAGGUAGAGCAGCGACUCUUUCACACAAUA